CGUACAUUAAAAACCAACAAAAAGUGCAAAAACCAUCGCUGGUGAGCAAUGCCGCCAUAUUCAGAAACGAAAAAAACGUCCGUCUCAGAGACACAUUUUUAUCCGAAAUUACACAAGCCUCGAUUUCGGUAAAAUGACGUUGAAGUUGACGUCACUUAAUUAGAUAUUUGUUUUCAUUAAUUUGUUUUUCAAGCAACAGCCAUUAGAGCUAGUGUUAAAAUCAAUAAUAUCGGACGAAGAUUUUUAAGUUUAAACGUUUCAACAUUUAGUGAAAUAUCACAAACCUAAUGAGUGAAUUAGCGAAUUGUUUCCCUUUGAAAUCAACACGCCAUUAUCGGUGGAUAUAUGUCUGAAACUGGGUCAGAGAAUACAUGCUGUUAUUGCUCUGAAUAUACGCGGAUAUUUAAAGUGCAUGGCGGAUUUAAUAAUUGUUAUGGAUAACCUCCAGCAGUAAGAAAUAUAAAGGUUCACUGCAGUUUUGAGUGCUCAACAAGUAUUGACCCCAUACUAUGCUCAGCAAAUAGGGCCCUUGUAUUUCUGUGAAUCCUUAUGCAGUACAGUACUGCUGUUGGAAGAGGAGCAACAGUGUGGUAUCUAUGGUCCACCAUCACUUCAAGCAUUAUGGCUAUGGAGAAAAGAAUGUUUCAUUACAUAUGGACAGUUAUAGUGGACAAAAUAAGAAAAGUGUUGUAAUAAGCUAUGGAAUGUGGCUUGUUAUGAUGGGUCUACAUGAUGACUUGGAGUACAACCUGAUUGAGGCCGGCAUACAGAAUUCAGUCCUGAACAUGUUUAGAAUGUCUUCUGCAUGACCUGGUAUAGAUAGUAUUCUUGAAGGACUAUAACUUCAACACAGAGACUGAGAUUAAUAUUUUUAGGCAGGGGGUUGGCAUGACAGGCAAAUUCACCAACCGUAUUACCAUUCCUGAGUUGGAUGCCAGUCGACAGUGGUACCUGUAUAAUGAAGUAGCGCCCCUUUGCAGCAACAGCAAUGUAUGCUCAAAACCAGCAGUGUCAAAGCCAUUAAAAUUGAUAAUUCAAGUCAUUUAAAACGGAGAAUGAAUGGAAAAAAGUGUUUAACAUUUAAAGUAAUACAGAGAAAGAGCUCUGAAAUUUUGAUUAAUUUGAAGUGUUUUUGAUUUUUUGAAGAUGUACUAGACCCAAAUUCCAUAUAUUUGAAAAAGAACAAAUGAUACAUAUAGUUUAUAAAUGUAAACAUUGAAUUAACAACUUUAUGGUGUCAACAGUACUAUGCAUUUGUUAAAUAUUGACUCACUAUAUACAUGUAAGGCUGAACACAGUAUAAAUGUGAAAUUCCUCUAAAACACUGGAAGAUAUUUCAACAAUAAUUGUAACAUAUAUGGUAGUAAUGUACAUUUUUCAUUACGACAGUUGGA